UCAUUUCUCUCUCUAUCACUACUGCACUCGCUAUAUUCUGCAUCUCCAUCUCCUUCUCCAUUUUCAUCCGUAAAGCUCUUCUCUCGAGGAAACCCCUCUUCUACAAUUGUGAAACAGAAAAGCAUUAAUCGAUUUCCCUUUUGUUUCUCCUAAAUCCAAACCCCUUUUGCCAUCUCUUCCACAAACCCCAAAUUCUCUAAUAAAUCCACAUAUGACCGUUUUUUCGCACCUUUAAAACAAAAACCCCAUCUUCUAAAUUAUAUUCAUCCUCAUUAAACAAAACCCUUUACUUCAUCUUCUUAUUGCCUCUUAAAAAAAACCCCAAAAUUCCCAAUUUCAAAACCCUAAUAAUCCUUCACUUCACCAGAUUUAUUCGCGGCCGUCAUUAAACAAGCCAAUUCUCUGUUUUGUGAGUUUGGAAAUUUAGAAGAAAAAAGAAAUCAGGUUUCUUAAAGUUGUCCCAUGGGUUAGAUAUUAUGGAACUUAGAAAGAUUUGAACAUCAAUAUGACCAGGAAAAGAUCCAUCUUUGGGGGCUUCUCUUGAGGAUAAGAAGAGUGGUUUAUGGGAGCCAUCUAUAUGACAUUGAUUAGACUGCAAAGUGCUGAGAACUUGGGGUUGCAACACAUCCAAGCUUGUAUUAAAGUGGUGCAUGCAUUUAUAUUAGCAUCUCUCCAGCUUGGAUUUUAUCAUGUAUUGGGUACAUCAAAUGUAGACGAAGGAUUGUGCGGUCACUUAAAAAAGGAAACUCACUUGUCCAACCAUUUCGAAAAUGAUAUACUAAGAAGUUCUGAAUUUCCCACAUUUGAAUGUAAGGUGUGAUUGCAGCUCUGGAUAUAAAUCCCAAUGGAAGUAUCAAUAAGCAGGAUCUUCGAGCAUUUCUGAAAUAGGUUGUUGUCCAUCUUGAUUUUCCAUCCUGGAAGAAAGAAGCUUCCCCUCCACCUGAUGAAUUGGAGCCUAUACGAUCCAACUACAUUCAGCGAGAGAGAUAUAUCCAUGGAUAAGGAGAUACAUCAAAAUGUUCAUGCAGUUGAGCUUAUCAAAAAUAACCACUUCAUGGCAAAAAGGACAAUGUUUAUUGACUAGGUAUUAUUGUUAUUGCCUUAUUGGAAGUUAUCGUCGGUAAGCCUAACUUUUUUUCUUUCUCACUUUAAACAUUUUGAAUUUGAACAUCAUUAACAUUAUAGUGCCAGCGAGAGCAGGCUCAACUUCAUGCCAACAACAACAACCAAUGUUCAGUACUCAUAACAAUCUAUGUUUAAUUUCUUUGUAUGCAUUUUUCCCUUUGAAUUUCGCUCAUGAUGAUCCCGUAUUGCUUUAUAGUGUAAAUAAAAUAAAAAAUGUUAGUCACUAAGAUGCUUGCUUCUGCUAUUUUCAGGAAACUCUUAUUGUUCGCAAAGAUUUGUUGACAUCUGGUAGGUUAAAUGAUCUUAUGUUGGGCUACGAUGGGUCAUGUUUAUCAAAGCUCACAAUGUUGGAAUUGUAUUGAACAUCAUAUUACCAUAUGGAUUGUGAUACUUUUAGGUCAAGUUACCAAAAGAAAAUUCUGAGUUGGAUCAUGAGUAAUUCUAGUUUUUCUAAGUUGUACAACAAAUUUUGAUUUUAAUAUAAUGUUGAUUCA